CAGAGGCGUGCGAGAGAGCGGCACACGCACACACGAAAGAGGCACACACAGGCGCUCCAGGCUCGCAAAAGGGAGACACACGCAUACACGAAAGAGAGCGCGAGCGAGAGAGGGAGGAGGGCUGGACGCAUAAGGAACGAGUAAGCUGGAUGCCAGGUGUCACCUUAAACCAGAAGGCGUUUGCACAGUUGGAUGCUGAUUACGAGUGCAGUAAAUCUGUCACAAAUACGAGGGGAGCAGAGGGUGGUCACAGUUGUUAGAGCUGCGGCCCCACAGACCCAGCAUGCUGGCGAUUGUUUGCCAUUGAAUAGCAUUGAUCGCCAUUGGGUUGUAUUGUAUCACAACUUUUUCAUCUCUUUUUAUCUAUAGUCGUGACCA